GGCCGCGUGGCGAAAUGGCAUCGCGUCUGACUACGAAUCAGGAGAUUGCAGGUUCGACCCCUGCCGCGGUCA
rnacentral:tRNA from 1 species